UACGAAGGGGGCUAGCGUUGCUCGGAAUUACUGGGCGUAAAGCGCACGCAGGCGGUUUGUUAAGUCAGAUGUGAAAUCCCCGAGCUUAACUUGGGAACUGCAUUUGAAACUGGCAAGCUAGAGUCUUGUAGAGGGGGGUAGAAUUCCAGGUGUAGCGGUGAAAUGCGUAGAGAUCUGGAGGAAUACCGGUGGCGAAGGCGGCCCCCUGGACAAAGACUGACGCUCAGGUGCGAAAGCGUGGGGAGCAAACAGG
rnacentral:rRNA from 1 species